rnacentral:rRNA from 1 species
AGCGAACGCUGGCGGCAGGCCUAACACAUGCAAGUCGAACGAAGUCUUCGGACUUAGUGGCGGACGGGUGAGUAACACGUGGGAACGUGCCUUUAGGUUCGGAAUAACUCAGGGAAACUUGUGCUAAUACCGAAUGUGCCCUUCGGGGGAAAGAUUUAUCGCCUUUAGAGCGGCCCGCGUCUGAUUAGCUAGUUGGUGAGGUAAAGGCUCACCAAGGCGACGAUCAGUAGCUGGUCUGAGAGGAUGAUCAGCCACAUUGGGACUGAGACACGGGCCAAACUCCUACGGGAGGCAGCAGUGGGGAAUCUUGAGCAAUGGGCGAAAGCCUGACGCAGCCAUGCCGCGUGAAUGAUGAAGGUCUUAGGAUUGUAAAAUUCUUUCACCGGGGACGAUAAUGACGGUACCCGGAGAAGAAGCCCCGGCUAACUUCGUGCCAGCCGCCGCGGUAACAC